UGGGGAAUAUUGGACAAUGGGCGAAAGCCUGAUCCAGCCAUGCCGCAUGAGUGAAGAAGGCCUUUGGGUUGUAAAGCUCUUUUAGUGAGGAAGAUAAUGACGGUACUCACAGAAGAAGUCCUGGCUAACUCCGUGCCAGCAGCCGCGGUAAUACGGAGAGGGCUAGCGUUAUUCGGAAUUAUUGGGCGUAAAGGGCGCGUAGGCUGGUUAAUAAGUUAAAAGUGAAAUCCCUAGGCUUAACCUUGGAAUUGCUUUUAAAACUAUUAAUCUAGAGAUUGAAAGAGGAUAGAGGAAUUCCUGAUGUAGAGGUAAAAUUCGUAAAUAUUAGGAGGAACACCAGUGGCGAAGGCGUCUAUCUGGUUCAAAUCUGACGCUGAAGCGCGAAGGCGUGGGGAGCAAACA
rnacentral:rRNA from 1 species